GGAUGCGAUCAUAUCAACACUAACGCACCGGAUCCCAUCAGAACUCCAAGUUAAGCGUGCUUGGGCGAGAGUAGUACUAGGAUGGGUGGCCCCCUGGGAAGUCCUCGUGUUGCAUCCC
rnacentral:rRNA from 2 species